rnacentral:rRNA from 1 species
CUACGGGCGGCUGCAGUGGGGAAUAUUGGACAAUGGGCGAAAGCCUGAUCCAGCCAUGCCGCGUGUGUGAAGAAGGCCUUCGGGUUGUAAAGCACUUUCAGUGGGGAAGAAAGCCUUGGGGCUAAUACCCUCGAGGAAGGACAUCACCCACAGAAGAAGCACCGGCUAACUCCGUGCCAGCAGCCGCGGUAAUACGGAGGGUGCGAGCGUUAAUCGGAAUUACUGGGCGUAAAGCGCGCGUAGGCGGUCUGAUAAGCCGGUUGUGAAAGCCCCGGGCUCAACCUGGGAACGGCAUCCGGAACUGUCAGGCUAGAGUGCAGGAGAGGAAGGUAGAAUUCCCGGUGUAGCGGUGAAAUGCGUAGAGAUCGGGAGGAAUACCAGUGGCGAAGGCGGCCUUCUGGACUGACACUGACGCUGAGGUGCGAAAGCGUGGGUAGCAAACAGGAUUAGAUACCCCAGUAGUC